AGCAUCAUCAAAACUAAAAUGAUGGACAUGGGGAGCUGCUGCAAACUCAUCUCAAACCAAGAUGCUUCAAGUGUUUACAAGCAUAUUAUAAAUGGUACCGGGGACAGUCUCUGUGGUUUGAAUACAGAGGAGAAGGCUAAAAUUAUGCAGUGGGUACAAUAUAGCUACCAAAUGCAAGAAAAGAAGAUGCCAAUGUACAGAUAUGCAGAUGAAAUCAACAGUUUUCUAGCCACAAAGACAUUCAUGGUUGGAAAUUCUAUAACUAUAGCGGAUAUUGCCAUUGCUUUGGGAAUAUAUAAAUACCUCGGGAAGCUGCUAAUAACUCCAGAAAUUCAGUGGGAAUUUUCCAGCCUUGUAAGAUGGUACAACAUGAUUCAAUCAUCCAACUCUUGGAUUCAUCCUCAAAUUGAGUUCUUCAGAAGACCCUUUUAUUGCUGAUAUCAUUCACCACAUUUAUUGGGUAGAUAUUGGAACUCUAUUGUGGGCUUUGUUAUUUGAAUCUAGUAGUUAUAAAUCCUUGUAUCUAAGUUACUUUCACUCAACUUAAUAAUAGUUUUUCAUCAAAAAUCUUGUGCAUUGGCACAAGUGUUUUAUUAAAACCUACAUUUUAAAGGUGGGUCAUAUUUUUAGUUAAAUCUGUUUGGUAACUUAUAUGUAACUUUGUUGUAAUUUUCUUUAAGUCGAAUUCGCUGCCAAAGAUUACAAAAAACUACAUUCUAGAAUCUACAAUCAUUCUGGACAA